UCUUGACCCCCUGUGUUUCUCUCUCUUAGGCACCCCUUUUACUGUGCUUGUUUUUGAUAGCGACAAAUAUUUCCUGCAGAGCAUGGGGAAGGUCUUCAAGUUCUGCACUAUGAGAUUGGGCAAAAGUACGAGCCUCAUUACGACUACUUCAUGGAUGAGUAUAACACUAGGAACGGGGGUCAGCGGAUAGCCACAGUUCUCAUGUACCUAUCAGAUGUGGAGGAGGGGGGUGAAACAGUAUUUCCUGCAGCCAAAGGAAACUAUAGCGCAGUGCCAUGGUGGAAUGAGUUGUCAGAGUGCGGGAAAGGAGGAUUGUCCGUGAAACCGAAGAUGGGAGACGCAUUGCUUUUCUGGAGCAUGACGCCUGAUGCGACGCUAGACCCAUCUAGUCUUCAUGGUGGGUGUGCUGUAAUAAAAGGGAACAAGUGGUCGUCGACAAAGUGGUUGCGUGUACACGAGUACAAGGUUUGAGGCGGCAUGGCAUGAUUGAGGACAGGGGGAGGGAGUCCUGAAAGAUGGAGCCAGAGAGUGUGGGAAAUCAGGAGGGAUAGAGAGAAGCAAGCAGCUAGUAGUAGGGGGGAGGGGGAUGAUGAAACAUGGCUAAGUUUUGAUAAUAGAGAUACACAUUUACUUGUAUAAUGAUUGAUGAAACUUGAAAAGCGAAUGUUGAUGGAUGAGGGGGAGGGUUGGGUGGUGUUUCUGUUUCAGAUAAUGAUAUUAUAAAAUAGUAUGAUACGAAUUUUCUUUUUGUAUAAUUAAAAGAGAAGUAAAGUUUUCCCCUUUGAUUAAUUUGGAAUCCAAACACCACAAAGUCAGAGUCAGAGAGAGAGAAGAGCGCAAAAAAGUCUUACCGAUAUAAAUCAAAUCGACUCGCCGUCGGUCUCGUAAAGAUAUUAUUAUACAGAGACAGACAGACGCGUUGAGGGAGUUGAUUACUAUAAAAAAAAAAAAAAAAAGAGAAAUCAUUGGUCAGCUGAGAGAGAGAAGAGAGAAGAAGGUUCCCUUUUCAUUUCCUUUUGGUCUCUCUCUCAUUGAGAAAGAAGUCGCCAAAGGCAAUAUCUAGCCGCAAUAAAAGAAAAAGGGGAAAAAAAAAACCAAAAAAGAAUUAAGAAAACAACAAACACAAAUCAUUCCCUCUUCUUCGUCUUCUUCUUCUUCUUCUUCAUUUCCCUUUUUUUUUGUUUUUUCUCCCAGUAGAAAUAAAGAAAGAAAGAAAGAGAGAGAGAGAUAUGGAUGAUUAUAAUUAUUCUCUGUCUCCGCUAUCCCUCCUUCGUCGGAUGAAAGAUUCCUUCCAUUCGGCCAUCUCUGGCCUCCUCGCCAGCCUCUUUUCCGCUCUCUUCACCUUCUUCUUCGCUUUAGUGGGGACUUUGCUAGGAGCAUUGACAGGGGCUUUGAUCGGCCAAGAAACAGAGAGCGGUUUCAUCAGAGGAGCCGCCGUUGGUGCCAUCUCUGGCGCUGUCUUCUCCAUUGAAGUCUUUGAAUCUUCCCUCCUCCUCUGGCAAUCCGAUGAGUCUGGGAUUGGCUGCCU